rnacentral:rRNA from 1 species
AGUGAACGCUGGCGGUAGGCCUGACACAUGCAAGUCGAACGGCAGCACAGUAAGAGCUUGCUCUUACGGGUGGCGGGUGGCGGACGGGUGAGGAAUACAUCGGAAUCUACUUUUUCGUGGGGGAUAACGUAGGGAAACUUACGCUAAUACCGCAUACGACCUACGGGUGAAAGCAGGGGAUCUUCGGACCUUGCGCGAUUGAAUGAGCCGAUGUCGGAUUAGCUAGUUGGCGGGGUAAAGGCCCACCAAGGCGACGAUCCGUAGCUGGUCUGAGAGGAUGAUCAGCCACACUGGAACUGACACACGGUCCAGACUCCUACGGGAGGCAGCAGUGGGGAAUAUUGGACAAUGGGCGCAAGCCUGAUCCAGCCAUACCGCGUGGGUGAAGAAGGCCUUCGGGUUGUAAAGCCCUUUUGUUGGGAAAGAAAAGCAGCAGGUUAAUACCCCGCUGUUCUGACGGUACCCAAAGAAUAAGCACCGGCUAACUUCAUG